rnacentral:rRNA from 1 species
GACGAACGCUGGCGGCGUGCUUAACACAUGCAAGUCGAACGGAAAGGCCCUGCUUGCAUGGUACUCGAGUGGCGAACGGGUGAGUAACACGUGGGUGAUCUGCCCUGCACUUCGGGAUAAGCCUGGGAAACUGGGUCUAAUACCGGAUAGGAGCCAUUUUUAGUGUGAUGGUUGGAUAGUUUUUUCGGUGUAGGAGGAGCUCGCGGCCUAUCAGCUUGGUGGUGGGGUAAUGGCCUACCAAGGCGGCGACGGGUAGCCGGCCCGAGAGGGUGGACGGCCACAUUGGGACCGGGAUACGGCCCAGACUCCUACGGGAGGCAACAGUGGGGAAAAUUGCACAAAGGGCGCAAGCCUGAUGCAGCGACGCCGCGUGGGGGAUGACGGCCUUCGGGUUGUAAACUCCUUUCGCUAGGGACGAAGCUUUUUGUGACGGUACCUAGAUAAGAAGCACCGGCUAACUACGUG